GCUAAUCUAGUUUAAAUAAAAUGUCUCUUUGUGGCAGUGAAGAUAACAAUUUCUUGUUGAUUGGUU
rnacentral:tRNA from 1 species